rnacentral:SRP_RNA from 1 species
GCCAGGCGUGGUGACGCACGCCUGUAAUCCCAGCUACUCAGGAGGCUGAGACAGGAGAAUUGCUUGAACCUGGGAGGCAGAGGUUGCAGUGAGCCAAGAUCCUGCCACUGCACUCUACCUGGGUGACAGAGCAAGACUCCAUCUCAA